rnacentral:rRNA from 1 species
GAGGCACUCCCUUCGGGGCGAGAUGGUGUAGGUGCUGCACGGUUGUCGUCAGCUCGUGCCGUGAGGUGUCGGCUUAAGUGCCAUACGAGCGCAACCUCAUCAUUAGUUACCAUCAGGUAAGGCUGGGACUCUAAUGAGACUGCCAUCGUAAGAUGUGAGGAAGGUGGGGAUGACGUCAAAUCAGCACGGCCCUUACGUCCGGGGCGACACACGUGUUACAAUGGGUGGUACAAAGGGCAGCUACCUGGCGACAGGAUGCUAAUCUCGAAAACCGCUCUCAGUUCGGAUCGGAGUCUGCAACUCGACUCCGUGAAGCUGGAUUCGCUAGUAAUCGCGCAUCAGCCACGGCGCGGUGAAUACGUUCCCGGGCCUU